rnacentral:rRNA from 1 species
UCGUCACACUAUCAUUAACUGAAUCCAUAGGUUAAUGAGGCGAACCGGGGGAACUGAAACAUCUAAGUACCCCGAGGAAAAGAAAUCAACCGAGAUUCCCCCAGUAGCGGCGAGCGAACGGGGAGGAGCCCAGAGCCUGAAUCAGCAUGUGUGUUAGUGGAAGCGUCUGGAAAGGCGCGCGAUACAGGGUGACAGCCCCGUACACAAAAGCGCAUGUGCUGUGAGCUCGAUGAGUAGGGCGGGACACGUGGUAUCCUGUCUGAAUAUGGGGGGACCAUCCUCCAAGGCUAAAUACUCCUGACUGACCGAUAGUGAACCAGUACCGUGAGGGAAAGGCGAAAAGAACCCCGGCGAGGGGAGUGAAAAAGAACCUGAAACCGUGUACGUACAAGCAGUGGGAGCACAGGUUUACCUGUGUGACUGCGUACCUUUUGUAUAAUGGGUCAGCGACUUAUAUUCUGUAGCAAGGUUAACCGAAUAGGGGAGCCGGAGGGAAACCGAGUCUUAAUUGGGCGUUAAGUUGCAGGGUAUAGACCCGAAACCCGGUGAUCUAGCCAUGGGCAGGUUGAAGGUUGGGUAACACUAACUGGAGGACCGAACCGACUAAUGUUGAAAAAUUAGCGGAUGACCUGUGGCUGGGGGUGAAAGGCCAAUCAAACCGGGAGAUAGCUGGUUCUCCCCGAAAGCUAUUUAGGUAGCGCCUCGUGAAUUCAUCUCCGGGGGUAGAGCACUGUUUCGGCUAGGGGGCCAUCCCGGCUUACCAACCCGAUGCAAACUGCGAAUACCGGAGAAUGUUAUCACGGGAGACACACGGCGGGUGCUAACGUCCGUCGUGAAGAGGGAAACAACCCAGACCGCCAGCUAAGGUCCCAAAGUCAUGGUUAAGUGGGAAACGAUGUGGGAAGGCCCAGACAGCCAGGAUGUUGGCUUAGAAGCAGCCAUCAUUUAAAGAAAGCGUAAUAGCUCACUGGUCGAGUCGGCCUGCGCGGAAGAUGUAACGGGGCUAAACCAUGCACCGAAGCUGCGGCAGCGAACGUAUCACUUAAAGCGAUUCAGCGGGUUACGAUU